rnacentral:rRNA from 1 species
GAUGAACGCUAGCUACAGGCUUAACACAUGCAAGUCGAGGGGAAACGACAUUGAAAGCUUGCUUUUGAUGGGCGUCGACCGGCGCACGGGUGAGUAACGCGUAUCCAACCUGCCCACCACUUGGGGAUAACCUUGCGAAAGUAAGACUAAUACCCAAUGAUAUCUCUAGAAGACAUCUGAAAGGGAUUAAAGAUUUAUCGGUGAUGGAUGGGGAUGCGUCUGAUUAGCUUGUUGGCGGGGUAACGGCCCACCAAGGCGACGAUCAGUAGGGGUUCUGAGAGGAAGGUCCCCCACAUUGGAACUGAGACACGGUCCAAACUCCUACGGGAAGCAGCAGUGAGGAAUAUAGGUCAAUGGACGAGAGUCUGAACCAGCCAAGUAGCGUGCAGGAUGACGGCCCUAUGGGUUGUAAACUGCUUUUAUAAGGGAAUAAAGUGAGUCUCGUGAGACUUUUUGCAUGUACCUUAUGAAUAAGGACCGGCUAAUUCCGUGCCAGCCGCCGCCGUAA